rnacentral:rRNA from 1 species
UACGUAGGGGGCAAGCGUUGUCCGGAAUCAUUGGGCGUAAAGCGCGUGUAGGCGGUUUCGUAAGUCUGCUGUGAAAGUCGGAGGCUCAACCUUCGAAAGCCGGUGGAUACUGUGAGACUUGAGUACGGAAGAGGAGAGUGGAAUUCCUGGUGUAGCGGUGAAAUGCGCAGAUAUCAGGAGGAACACCAACGGCGAAGGCAGCUCUCUGGGACGUUACUGACGCUGAGGAGCGAAAGCGUGGGGAGCGAACAGG